rnacentral:rRNA from 1 species
GACGAACGCUGGCGGCGUGCUUAACACAUGCAAGUCGAACGGUGAAGGGGUCUGCUUUUGUGGGCCCUGGAUGAGUGGCGAACGGGUGAGUAACACGUGAGUAACCUGCCCCCUUCUUCUGGAUAACCGCAUGAAAGUGUGGCUAAUACGGGAUAUUCUGGGUCUGUCGCAUGAUGGGUCUGGGAAAGAUUGCGCCUUUGGGUGUUUUUGGUGGGGGAUGGGCUCGCGGCCUAUCAGCUUGUUGGUGGGGUGAUGGCCUACCAAGGCGGUGACGGGUAGCCGGCCUGAGAGGGUGGACGGUCACACUGGGACUGAGACACGGCCCAGACUCCUACUGGAGGCAGCAGUGGGGAAUAUUGCACAAUGGGCGCAAGCCUGAUGCAGCGACGCCGCGUGAGGGAUGGAGGCCUUCGGGUUGUAAACCUCUUUCGCCAGUGAAGCAGGCCUGCUCCUUGUGGGUGGGUUGACGGUAGCUGGAUAAGAAGCGCCGGCUAACUACGUG